AUCGCUUCUCGGCCUAUUGGUUAAGAUCAAGUGUAGUAUAUGUUCUUAUCAGUUUAAUACCACUGUCAAGUUGGGAAUCCUUAUCACUAUUAGCCUCAGUUUACCCCUG
rfam:Myotis davidii contig173236, whole genome shotgun sequence.